GCGAAAGAGGAAGACACGAAGUUAAACUCUUUAUUUAUCGCAGGUCUUCCUCCGUUAGACGUGUCUCCACUGCAGAUAAGCAAGGAUGGCAAAGAAGUGUGCAGCCAAGCCAGAUGAAGGUCUGAUGAUGAUGCAGGAGCUUGAUGACCGGCUGAAAGAGCAGAUUGACAAACUGGAGCACGUUCGUCUUGCUGCUGUUGAACUGAGAGACAACUUCUCUGGGACCACCAGUGAUCUAACCCAGUCUAUUAGUGACCACCUGGAGUGGCUAAAUCACUUGUC